rnacentral:tRNA from 1 species
ACCACUAGCUAAAUUGGUUAGAGCGUAGGUCUCGUAAACGAAAGGUUGCGGGAUCGAAUCCCGCUAGAGCUG